rnacentral:rRNA from 1 species
CAUGCUGACCAGGGGCGGACGGGUGAGCAUGCAUAGGAAUGUGCGCGAUAGUGGGGGAUAACCUGGGGAAACCCAGGCUAAUACCGCAUACUUCCUACGGGAGAAAGGGGGCUUUGGCUCCCGCUAUUGGAUGAGCCUAUGUCGGAUUAGCUAGUUGGUGAGGUAAUGGCCCACCAAGGCGACGAUCCGUAGCUGGUCUGAGAGGAUGAUCAGCCACAUCGGGACUGAGACACGGCCCGAACUCCUACGGGAGGCAGCAGUGGGGAAUAUUGGACAAUGGGGGCAACCCUGAUCCAGCCAUGCCGCGUGUGUGAAGAAGGCCUUCGGGUUGUAAAGCACUUUCAGCGAGGAAGAACGCCUGGUGGUUAAUACCCAUCAGGAAAGACAUCACUCGCAGAAGAAGCACCGGCUAACUCCGUGCCAGCAGCCGCGGUAAUACGGAGGGUGCAAGCGUUAAUCGGAAUUACUGGGCGUAAAGCGCGCGUAGGUGGCUUGAUAAGCCGGUUGUGAAAGCCCCGGGCUCAACCUGGGAACGGCAUCCGGAACUGUCAAGCUAGAGUGCAGUAGAGGAAGGUAGAAUUCCCGGUGUAGCGGUGAAAUGCGUAGAGAUCGGGAGGAAUACCAGUGGCGAAGGCGGCCUUCUGGACUGACACUGACACUGAGGUGCGAAAGCGUGGGUAGCAAACAGGAUUAGAUACCCUGGUAGUCCACGCCGUAAACGAUGUCGACCAGCCGUUGGGUGCCUAGCGCACUUUGUGGCGAAGUUAACGCGAUAAGUCGACCGCCUGGGGAGUACGGCCGCAAGGUUAAAACUCAAAUGAAUUGACGGGGGCCCGCACAAGCGGUGGAGCAUGUGGUUUAAUUCGAUGC